rnacentral:misc_RNA from 1 species
GCAAACUUGGUCAUUUAGAGGAAGUAAAAGUCGUAACAAGGUCUCCGUUGGUGAACCAGCGGAGGGAUCAUUACAGAGUUGAAAAACUCCCUAAACCCACUGCAAAUCUACCUGUAUUGUUGCUUCGGCAGGCGGCCCCAGGGCGGGGCCAUGGCCUAGCGGUGCCUGCCGACAGCCUCCGAAACUCUGUUUUAAUACGGCUGUCUGAGUGUCUUAAAAUAAAUCAAAACUUUCAACAACGGAUCUCUUGGUUCUGGCAUCGAUGAAGAACGCAGC